GUAGGUGAACCUGCGGAAGGAUCAUUAAAAGAGAUAGGGUCUCACGGCCCGACCUCCAACCCUUUGUUGUUUAAAAAAAACCUGUUGCUUUGGCGGGACCGUCCGUCUCACGACGGACUGUCGGUCUUCGGCCCGGCAAGCGCCCGCCAGAGUCCAACCCAACUCUUGAUAUAACCAGUCGUCUGAGAAUAAAGAUUUAAUCAAUUAAAACUUUCAACAACGGAUCUCUUGGUUCUG
rnacentral:misc_RNA from 1 species